rnacentral:rRNA from 1 species
GAUGAACGCUGGCGGCGUGCCUAACACAUGCAAGUCGAACGAAGCUUGACGGAUGAUUUCUUCGGAAUGAAACCAGAUAUGACUUAGUGGCGGACGGGUGAGCAACACGUGAUCAACCAGCCUUUCAGAGGGGGAUAACGGCUGGAAACGGUCGCUAAUACCACCUGAUGUGUUCGGAUGGCAUCAUCUGAACAUCAAAGAUUUAUCGCGGCAACAUGGGCUCGCGUCGGAGUAGUAAGUUGGAGGGGUACCGGCCUAACAAGUCUACGAUCAGUAGCCGGACUAAGAGGUAGAACGGCCAUAUUGGGACGGUGAUGAGGCCCAUACUCUUUCGGUAAGCAGCAGUGGGCAAUAUAGCACAAUGCGGGACACCAUGAAGCAGCAACGCCGUUGGAAAGAUGACGAUUUGCGGAUUGGAAACAUCGUUUCUUCGUGACGAUGUCGGUGACGGUAGAUAAGAAAUAAGCAGCGGCUAACUAGGG